rnacentral:rRNA from 1 species
GACGAACGCUGGCGGCGUGCUUAACACAUGCAAGUCGAACGGAAAGGCCCUGCUUUUGUGGGGUGCUCGAGUGGCGAACGGGUGAGUAACACGUGAGUAACCUGCCCUUGACUUUGGGAUAACUUCAGGAAACUGGGGCUAAUACCGGAUAGGAGCUCCUGCUGCAUGGUGGGGGUUGGAAAGUUUCGGCGGUUGGGGAUGGACUCGCGGCUUAUCAGCUUGUUGGUGGGGUAGUGGCUUACCAAGGCUUUGACGGGUAGCCGGCCUGAGAGGGUGACCGGCCACAUUGGGACUGAGAUACGGCCCAGACUCCUACGGGAGGCAGCAGUGGGGAGUAUUGCGCAAUGGGCGGAAGCCUGAUGCAGCAACGCCGCGUGCGGGAUGACGGCCUUCGGGCUGUAAACCGCUUUCGCCUGUGACGAAGCGUGAGUGACGGUAAUGGGUAAAGAAGCACCGGCUAACUACGUG